rnacentral:rRNA from 1 species
GAUGAACGCUAGCGGCAGGCCUAAUACAUGCAAGCCGAACGGCAAGAACUUUAGCAAUAGAGUUCCUAGAGUGGCGUAAGGGUGCGUAACACGUAUGCAAUCUGCCCUCAACAGGAGGAUAGCUCCCCGAAAGGGGAAGUUAAGACUCCAUAAGAUCAUUUUAUGGCAUCAUGAGAUGAUUAAACUACCAGGGGUUGAGGAUGAGCAUGCGCAUGAUUAGUUAGUUGGCGGGGUAACGGCCCACCAAGACGAUGAUCA